AGCGGCGGACGGGUGAAUAACACGUGGGAAUAUGCCUUUCGGUACGGAAUAACGUAGGGAAACUUGCGCUAAUACCGUAUGCGCCGGGGGAAAGAUUUAUCGCCGAAAGAUUAGCCCGCGUCUGAUUAGCUAGUUGGUGAGGUAACGGCCCACCAAGGCUUCGAUCAGUAGCUGGUUUGAGAGAACGAUCAGCCACACUGGGACUGAGACACGGCCCAGACUCCUACGGGAGGCAGCAGUGGGGAAUCUUGGACAAUGGGGGAAACCCUGAUCCAGCCAUGCCGCGUGAGUGAUGAAGGCCUUCGGGUUGUAAAACUCUUUCGCGCGCGACGAUAAUGACGGUAGCGCGAGAAGAAGCUCCGGCUAACUUCGUGCCAGCAGCCGUGGUAAUACGAAGGGGGCUAGCGUUGUUCGGAAUUACUGGGCGUAAAGCGCGCGCAGGCGGCCUUGCAAGUCAGUGGUGAAAUCCCAGAGCUUAACUCCGGAAUUGCCAUUGAAACUGCGAGGCUUCGAGUACGGGAGAGGUGAGUGGAAUUCCCAGUGUAGAGGUGAAAUUCGUAGAUAUUGGGAAGAACACCGGUGGCGAAGGCGGCUCACUGGCCCGUUAC
rnacentral:rRNA from 1 species